UAACCUGCAGUCCCUCCACCGUGACUCCAUGGAAAGAAGUCAAGGAUCUUUUAUUUACUGUCACUGAAGCACUGGAUUUAUCUAGUUUAGGUCUUCAGGGAUGACAGCUUCGGCUCAGAGGACUAUGACUAUUUUUUACUUCUCGCUUUUACAUGUUAGGAGAGACUGCUGACCCCGGUGGAAGACAGUGUGUGUGUGUCGAAGCACGGCACACAGACCCGCCUAUGCUGAUCCCGGCAUGUGUUUCCUGUACAGGAAUGCUUGGAGUAGUGCAGUGCUUACAAUAAGAGUAUGUGUGUAAGUCUGAGCGAGCAUGAGAGGGAUAGAAAGGAAGGGAGAGACAGACAGAGCUAGGGCAUAUCCAAGGGGAUCAAACCUAAACCACAGGAUAUUUCUGACCUUGAGGGUGAAUGGGUGAAGCAGGGAGGGGGGAGGAAAGAGGGGAGGAAAAGAAAAAGAGAGGAAAGCUGAAGAGAAGGAACAAAGAGAUGGAGAGAAGAGCGGAGUCUUUGGAGGGCAGCUGGAAAGCCUCCAGAAUCCUCCGCUCAAACCAACCAUAAAAUUCCAACUGGAGCCACAAAACCAGGUCCGAGAAGAGGAGGCCAGGAGGCAGACGAGUGAUGCAAUCCACGGAAGCAAAGGAGAGGACACGAGGGCGGCAGGAAGGAAGGGAGGGAAGAGAGGAAGGAGGAAUUGUUGCUUCUGGGGAUCCAGCUCUCCAGGAAUGUGCUGACGGUCAUGUCCCACUCAGUCGGAGCAAGCGCUGCAUUCUGGGAAACUCUGCGGAGGUGAUACCACCUGUUUUAGUGCUCCAGAUUGCAAAAGGAUGGAGAAAAUCACACAUUAUAAACGGAUAGACUUUGUGAGUCAUUAUUGUUCAUUUUCAAAGACACAACAGUCCCUUUUUUCCUAUGCAAAGUGGUCUCACUCAAUGCAGGUUUGGAGGCCUGAGUCCGCCCUCACACAGCAGCAGUGGAGAUCUAUUUUGGUGCAAGCUACACAUUGUCCACAAGCACCCACACAGGCUCUGUGGGUAAGGUGAUUGGUAAGCCUGGACAAAUAGUCUAUUUAUGAGCAUCGCAAGAGUGGGAGGUUGUCCUUGAGCUGGUUUGUCUGCUGUCUGAAGUGCUAAGUGCUGUAUACAGUUACAAUAGAUAGAACAUUCACAAGGACGAGUGAAGGAGGAGAGGGGGAGAAGGAGGGAGAGUGAGUGUGAGAUAGCACUGGGAAUAGAGAUGGUGAGUCAGUGGCCAUUUGGAAAGUAAUUUCAUCUCUGAAUGCCGUAUAUCUUUUCAUCAAUGAAAGGAAAGUCUUUUCUAAACCAGGCAGACACAAAAAGAAAAACAUCUUUGUUUGGUGAAAUGGAGCUGAUUUAAAGGGAAGAGAUCAGAUCCCAUUCACAGAUUAUUAUUUUUUUGCAUUUUAAAUGUGCUUUUAUAUUUAAUGUAGGUGAGGUUGUUUUGUGUAAUACACUGUAAUGAAAGUUUAGAACAUUUUUCGCUGCAUGUAAAUACAUUAAAGUUCCAAUGUAUAAAUUUAA